rnacentral:lncRNA from 10 species
CUGAGGAGCCAACAGGACCCAGUGAACAGACUUCGUCCAUCUGAAAUGAAUUUGGCAGAAUGACACUCUCUUUCUUGUGAAAUCCAGUCCUGCCUUGGGAUCCACAGAUGCCCCGACAUGUCCUACCUUCCCCGUCCCUUGGUCCCUCAUUCAGUCACUCUACAAGUAUGUUUUGAGCCUUUGUUAGGCACCAAACACUGGUGAUCCUGCUUUGAAUAGAUCAUGUCCCUGUGCUGGGAAAGAUGCGUUCAAUGGAGGAGACAGGGAGCAAACAAACAAACAAACAAACGGUGCUGUGGCUUGGAUGUGUGUCCCCUCCUAAUCUCAUGUUGAAAUGUGACCCCCAGUGUUGGAAGUGGGCUUAGCUGGAGGUGUUGAGUCAUGGGGGUGGAUCCCUCAUGAAUGGGUCAGCCCUGCCCCUUGGCCAUGAGUGGUAGCGAGAUGCCAGAGCUGAUUGUUUAAAAGAGCCUGAGGCCGGGUACUGUGGCUCAUGCCUGUAAUCCCAGCACUUUGGGAGGCCGAGGCGGGCGAAUCACGAGGGCAGGAGAUCAAGACCAUCCUGGCUAUGGUGAAACCCCGUCUCUACUAAAAAUACAAAAAAUUAGCCAGGCGUGGUGGUGGGCACCUGUAGACCCAGCUACUCCAGAGGCUGAGGCAGGAGAAUGGCGUGAACCCGGGAGGCGGAGCUUGCAGUGAGCCGAGAUCCCGCCGCUGCAUUCUAGCCUGGGCGACAGAACGAGACUCUGUCUCAAUUAAAAAAAAAAAGAAAAAAAAAUUGCCUGGCACUUCCCCCUCUUUUUCUUGCUCCCUCUCUCGCCAUGUAACACAUCUGUUCGCCCUUUGCCUUCUACCAUGAGUAAAAGCUUCCUGAGGCCUCACCAAACCUGAGUAGAUGCUGGUGUCAUGCUGGUACAGCCUGCAGAACUGUGAACCAAAUAAGCCUCUUUUCU